UUCAAAGUGGCGUGGGUAAACUCGUUCCGAGGAAUCCUAAGGACGGAGUUGUUCCUUUGUACCUUAGGAAAUGAGAACAUAGAUCAAAGAGAAGAUGUCAUUGCGGUAACUGUAGGUGAUAUAUAUCCCGCUGAACAGACAGGAAAUUAGGAAUAUUGGUUGGCCAUCUUGCCUGAUCCGCUACGAUGGUGGCUCCUGAGAUUUGCUUUACGGACAUGAAAGAAAUAUAUACACACAAAGCCAGAGAGGGUUAAAAAGUGAAGAGUUAUUGCAAAGUCCAAGAAAAAAGUUUUCAACCAAAUUUAAUUUGUAGGAAAAUGCUUAUUAAAGUCUUGAAGCGUCC